rnacentral:rRNA from 1 species
AUUGAACGCUGGCGGCAUGCCUUACACAUGCAAGUCGAACGGCAGCGCGGACUUCGGUCUGGCGGCGAGUGGCGAACGGGUGAGUAAUGUAUCGGAACGUACCAUUCAGUGGGGGAUAACGCAGCGAAAGUUGCGCUAAUACCGCAUAUUCUGUGCGCAGGAAAGCAGGGGAUCGCAAGACCUUGCGCUGAUUGAGCGGCCGAUAUCAGAUUAGCUAGUUGGUGAGGUAAAGGCUCACCAAGGCGACGAUCUGUAGCGGGUCUGAGAGGAUGAUCCGCCACACUGGAACCGAGACACGGUCCAGACUCCUACGGGAGGCAGCAGUGGGGAAUUUUGGACAAUGGGCGCAAGCCUGAUUCAGCCAUGCCGCGUGAGUGAAGAAGGCCUUCGGGUUGUAAAGCUCUUUCGGCCGGGAAGAAAUCGUAUGGGUUAAUACCCUGUGCGGAUGACGGUACCGGCAUAAGAAGCACCGGCUAACUACGUGCCAGCCGCCGCAGUAAUAC